rnacentral:rRNA from 1 species
GAGUAAAGAUUUCGGUCGCUUUGGGAGGAGCUCGCUUACUAUCAGCUUGUUGGUAGGGUAAUGGCCUACCAAGGCUAUGACGGUUAGGGGGUGUGAGAGCAUGACCCCCAGCAUUGGCACUGAAACACUGGCCAAACACCUACGGGUGGCUGCAGUCGAGAAUCUUCCACAAUGGGGGAAACCCUGAUGGAGCGAUGCUGCGUGCGGGAUGAAGGCCUUCGGGUUGUAAACCGCUUUUGUAGGGGACGAAAUUUUUGACGGUACCCUUUCGAAUAAGAGGUUGCUAACUCUGUGCCAGCAGCAGCGGUAAUACAGAGACCUCAAGCGUUAUCCGGAUUUACUGGGCGUAAAGCGUCUGUAGGGGGUUUAUUAAGUUCCAAGUAAAAUUUCAAGGCUCAACUUUGAAUUCGCUUGGAAAACUAAUAAACUGGAGUCUAGCAGAGGUGCAUGGAACUUGUGGUGUAGGAGUGAAAUCCGUUGAUAUCACAAGGAACACCAAAGGCGAAGGCAUUGCACUGGGCUAGCACUGACCCUGAGAGACGAAAGCGUGGGGAGCAAAACGGAUUAGAUACCCGUGUAGUCCACGCCCUAAACGAUGAAUGCUAAAUGUUCGGGGAUUCGACCCCCUGGGUGUUACAGCUAACGCGUUAAGCAUUCCGCCUGGGAAGUACGGCCGCAAGGCUAAAACUCAAAGGAAUAGACGGGGAUCCGCACAAGCGGUGGAGCGUCUGGUUUAAUUCGACAGUAAGCGUGGUACCUCACCAGGGUUUGACAUCCCUUGACAGCCUUGGAAACAAGGUUUCCUUCGGGCAAGGUGACAGGUGCUGCAUGGUCGUCGUCAGUUCGUGCCGUGAGGUGUUCCGUUAAGUCGGGAAACGAACGAAACCCCUAUUGCAUGUUACAAUUUCUCAUGCAAGACUGCCCGGAUCACUACUGGGAGGAAGGUGAGGAUGACGUCAGAUCUGCAUGGUCCUUAUACCCUGGGCGACACAGGCGCUACAAUGGCAGAGACAAAGGGUUGCAAAACCG